CUUUCUUUCUUCAUUGUUGCCCAAGACCCGAAUUGAAAUUCCUACUGACAUCUUUGAGUGCUCUACCUGGGAAGGAGAGGGGAAUGCACAUCCCCCCUGUUCAGCAAAGAACCUCAGAGGGGCGUCUGUAGACAGUGCCGACUCUGCAACAGAGCAGCAGCGAGUGGCCCUGGAUCAAAACCAAAGAGGAACGACAGGAGAGACGAAGCGGGAGCUCGUAUGAAGAACAUGCUGGGAGAAGCGGAGAAGAGCAGGCACCCACCAGGGCAUCUGGGAGAGCAGUAGGUCUUCAAAGACCAGCAUGUGUCUCCCACCUGUAGAACAUGUUAACUCCACCAGCCAGUCUGCACGGACUCAGCAGCUGGGUGUGGCCGGUGCCUGCUCGACCACACGGCACAGGUGGCUCCUCUAUCUAUGUCAUCCCUGCUAAUAAACCUGCAAACCAGAGAAAAACCCCACAACUGGACUUGAAUUCAUUAUCUUCAACUCACACAUUUGACAAGCCGUUGAAGCUUGAGCACACCAGCUCUUGUUAUGAAUUCACACCUUCUGCUGGUCAGAAGCCCUUACAUUAACCCACCCGCUGUGUGUGAAGGAUGGGUGUUAUUGCUGUCACACAUGCAAAUGUCAUUAGGCUGGCUGACAGUGAGUGGAAGGCUGCUCGAAGUCCAUGCAGUGUGUGAUGAAGAGCCCAUGUUCGAGUGCAGAGAACUGGCUAGUGCUGAAGGUUAAG